AAAAUCACCUGGGAAUUUUCUGGAAAUCCCAAAAAAUCCCCCAAAAAUUCCCAAAAAAAUCCCCCCAAAAAUGCCUUGGGAAUCACCUGGAAAUCCCAAAAAUAUCCCCCCAAAAUCCCUUUGGGAGUUCCCACGAAAUCUCCCCAAAAAUUCCCCCCAAAAAUGCCUUGGGAAUCACCUGGAAAUCUCAAAAAAAUCCCCCAAAAAUCCCAAAAAUUCCCCUAAAAAUGCCUUGAGAAUUAACUGGAAAUCUCCCAAAAAUUCCCUUUGGGAAUUCCCACAAAGUCCGCCAAAAAUCCUCACAAAAUUCCCCCAAAAAUUCCCCAAAAAAUCCCCUGGGAAUUUUCUGCAAAUUCCCCCAAAAAAUUCCCUUGGUAAAACCCCAGAAAAUCCCCCAAAAACACUUAGGGAAUUCCCCCAAAAAUCCCUUUGGAAAAUCCCUAAAAAAAAUUGGGGGGAAAUGGGGGGAAAAUGAGAAAAAAAAUUGUAAAAAAAUGUAAAAAAUGGGACGGGGGAGGGAAAUGGGAAAAUUUGGGUGAAAAUGAGAAAAAAAACGGGAAAAAUCUGGAAAAUGCCCGGGAGUCCCCCGGGAAUUCUGUGACAUUCCAGUGGCAUUAAUUAAUUAACUCUGUGUCGUUAAUUAAUUAAUCCUGUGUUAUUAAUUUUCGUGUUGUCACAUUUGCGCCGGAUUUUGCCUUAAUUCCCCGGAAAUCCGCCAAAUUCCGUGCCGUUAAUUAAUCCUGUGUCGUUAACUAAUUUCGUGUUGUUAAGCCCGUGUCAUUAUUUAAUUCCAUCUCAUCAAGUCCGAGUCAUUAAUGCCGUGUCAGUAAUUAAUUCCGUGCCAUUAAUUAAUUCCGUGUCAUUAAUUCCAUGUCAUUUAUUAAUUCCGUGUCAUUAAUUAAUUCCGUGUAGUUUAUUAAUUCCGCGUCAUUUAUUAAUUCCAUGUAAAUAAUUCCGUGUCAUUAAUGUCCUCUUACUAAUUCUGUGUCAAUAAUAAAUUCCAUGUCAUUAAUCCCGUGCCA
ensembl:lncRNA